rnacentral:rRNA from 35 species
UUGAUGGAUAGUAUGAAUGGUAUAACGAAUAUAACACUGUCUCAAAUAAAAAUCUUAUAAAAUUAGAAUAAUAGUAAAGAUGCUAUUUUAAACUGUAAGACGAGAAGACCCUAUAGAGCUUAACUAUAACUCUUUAACGAUUAAUAAACUAGUUUAUUAACAAAAAGAGAUAGGUAGUUUAGUUGGGGCGACUACUUUCUAAAAUAAACGAAAGUAAACAAAAAUUAAUUAAAAAAAUUUACUGUUUAAUUCAUAAAUUUAACAGUUAUUAUAAUAGGUAAUAAUGACCCGUUAACAAUUAAUAAUAGUGCUAACGAUCAAUAAAUAAAAGCUACCUUAGGGAUAACAGGAUAAUUUUGUU